rnacentral:rRNA from 1 species
CAAGUCGAGCGGAUGAGUGGAGCUUGCUCCAUGAUUCAGCGGCGGACGGGUGAGUAAUGCCUAGGAAUCUGCCUGGUAGUGGGGGACAACGUUUCGAAAGGAACGCUAAUACCGCAUACGUCCUACGGGAGAAAGUGGGGGAUCUUCGGACCUCACGCUAUCAGAUGAGCCUAGGUCGGAUUAGCUAGUUGGUGAGGUAAAGGCUCACCAAGGCGACGAUCCGUAACUGGUCUGAGAGGAUGAUCAGUCACACUGGAACUGAGACACGGUCCAGACUCCUACGGGAGGCAGCAGUGGGGAAUAUUGGACAAUGGGCGAAAGCCUGAUCCAGCCAUGCCGCGUGUGUGAAGAAGGUCUUCGGAUUGUAAAGCACUUUAAGUUGGGAGGAAGGGCAGUAAGUUAAUACCUUGCUGUUUUGACGUUACCAACAGAAUAAGCACCGGCUGACUUCGUGCCAGCAGCCGCGGUAAUACGAAGGGUGCAAGCGUUAAUCGGAAUUACUGGGCGUAAAGCGCGCGUAGGUGGUUCGUUAAGUUGGAUGUGAAAGCCCCGGGCUCAACCUGGGAACUGCAUCCAAAACUGGCGAGCUAGAGUAUGGCAGAGGGUGGUGGAAUUUCCUGUGUAGCGGUGAAAUGCGUAGAUAUAGGAAGGAACACCAGUGGCGAAGGCGACCACCUGGGCUAAUACUG